rnacentral:sRNA from 1 species
GGGUGAGGGGUACGUCGGGAGCCCCCGGCGCCCGGGUAUUAAUGGGGCUCCAUUAGUGCCGGGAGGAGGCGCAUUAGCGGCGGCGACGGCGUCUGGCUCCCAUUACCACCGGCGGCAGCGGCUGCACCGCAGGCGGCUGGACCUAGCCCGCCGCCGCCGCCUCCUCCACCCCAACCCUAUCCCCUGUCCCGCUCCCCACGAGGGCCCGGUGUGGACUAAUGUGGAACCUCGCUCUGUGGCUGUGUUCCCCUGGCACUCCUUAGUCCCCUUCCUGGCACCCAGCCAGCCUGACCCCUCCGUGCAGCCGAGCGAGGCGCAGCAACCUGCCAGCC